AGGUACAAGCCAUCUCAUCAGUAGUUUCUACUGUCAUUCUCUCAGGCAGAGCUCCACAAAUGAAAGUGAAGAGUGAAUUACUUCAAAAUGAUAUAUUAUUGCUUCCUUACCACACACCAGGUCAUUGGGUUCUUGCGAAACUUCAUCAAACGAUUAACUAGAAAAUCCUCAUCUGAUUGGAACAGUAAAAUUGAUCAUCAUCCCAGACAAAGUGAUGGCCACAACUGCGGACCACUCAUCUUAAAGGUAUUGAAUACCAAAUUGCCAUUAUUAUUUGUUAUGUUUGUGUAAUUAUCC